AUGCACUGGGUGUCCUGGAACGAGUUGGCCACACCUAAGUGCAAAGGAAGGAUGGGGUUUCGUGACCCGCAUCAGUUUAAUCUUGCCAUGCUGGGCAAAUAGGGUUGGCGAUUAAUGACAAACCCCACAUCGCUGUGUGCUAGAGUGCUCAAGGGUCGCUACUUUCCCGACGGAGAUUUUAUGCACGCAUCUGCUCCAAAGUCAGCCUCGGCCACUUGGAAGGAAAUCUUGGCGGGAAGGGAG
rnacentral:rRNA from 1 species